rnacentral:lncRNA from 1 species
AAUUUGAAGAAAGAAGGUAGAAAGAGGAACAUUAUCAUCCCUCCCUGCAAUCCCCAAUCCUAUGUUCUCUCUGACCCAUGGGGGAUCCAUAAUGGUUCAGUCACCAUCACAAGAGCCCCAAACAUCUUGGCAAACCCUUUAAGAUCUUAUAGAGCUGAACAGUCCACUCUGUCCAGAACAGAUAGGAGAUAGAUGUGAGAUUGAGUAUUAGUGGGUAAAUUUAAAAUGAUUGUGGUGUGAUUGAUUUACCUGUAACUUACAGGCAUCAAUUUUGAACCUACUUUAUUUCAAGGGCAAUUUUUCUUUGAAGCUUUUAACAAAUAAUUAAAGCCAAAUUAAUAUGCAUUGCAAAUGUCAGGAACAUUUGAAUUUUAUUUUCAGAGGGACUUGAAACUUCUGUGUUUACUGUGAAAAAUCACAUUAUGGUGCCAUUAUUUCUACUUUUUAUGAUGAAGAUACACAUGCCACUGUUAUCUAAUUAUUAGUGACUAAUAAUACCAUUUAAUUAAAUAAUAAUAAACCCAGUAUGCCAUCUUUCUUAUUUUGCUCUCAAUGUAGUAAUUUCAGAAGAUUUAUAUAUUACCUAUUCAAAUUUUAAUUGCCUCUUAAGAGUAUGUAGAAUUACUUCUGGUCCACUCAAAGCAGCCCAGAGGGUGGAAUGCAGCUUGCAGGUAUCUUCUGCAGUUUGUGUCUCAGAGGAUUAGGGCAGAACAGCUGCAGUUAACACCAGGUGGUCAGUAGGUAUCUCUAAAAACUGAGAAGACAAGUUGACCCAAGUUUUUAGGUCAUGAACAAAGGGUUUAUUAAAGAGCUAGGGAGGGAUGUGUUAUAGAUUAAUUUAAGAAUCAGAAGAUAGAAAUUCAGGGAGCAAAUUGCUAGAAAAUCACUGAAGAAAAGCUGUUUGAGGGGCUGGGGUUGUGGCUUAGUGGUAGAGCACCUGUCUUGUGUGUGUGAGGCACUGGGUUCGAUUCUCAGUACCACAUAUAAAUAAAUAAAACAAAUAAAGGUCCAUAGACAACUGAAAGAAAGAAAGAAAGAAAGAAAGAAAGAAAGAAAGAAACUGCUUGAAUCUAUCAUAUUUUGGACUGCAUUUAUCUGCUUAGACCUUUGACUGUCUCUUUCAGGCCUACCCAGCCUAGGUUCUGGUCUGAUAAACUGUUUGCCCUUGGUUCUCUACACUCCACUCCCUACUAUCAAUGAGUAAUUUCUCCAUUUCUAAGACAAUAAGGUCCAAAUCAAGAGUUAGUGGGGUCAGUUCCCAGGUGAACUAUCAAUCACUUCACAUGUAUUUUAACAGAGAUCUUGUUUUAAUCCUCCCAAUGGAUCAGUCCAGGUCAUAGACAGAUGAACUAUCCUGGACAAGAAGGUAGGUUCUUUUAAAAACUGC